UAACACAUGCAAGUCGAACGUGAAAGCACUUCGGUGUGAGUAGAGUGGCGGACGGGUGAGUAACGCGUGGGAAUCUGCCCAGUAGUGGGGGACAACUACCGGAAACGGUAGCUAAUACCGCAUACGCCCUAUGGGGGAAAGGCUUCGGCCGCUAUUGGAUGAGCCCGCGUCAGAUUAGCUAGUUGGUAGGGUAAAGGCCUACCAAGGCAACGAUCUGUAGCUGGUCUGAGAGGACGAACAGCCACACUGGGACUGAGACACGGCCCAGACUCCUACGGGAGGCAGCAGUGGGGAAUAUUGGACAAUGGGCGAAAGCCUGAUCCAGCAAUGCCGCGUGUGUGAAGAAGGCCUGCGGGUUGUAAAGCACUUUCAGUUGGGAAGAUGAUGACGUUACCAACAGAAGAAGCACCGGCUAAAUCCGUGCCAGCAGCCGCGGUAAUACGGAUGGUGCGAGCGUUAAUCGGAAUUACUGGGCGUAAAGCGCGCGUAGGCGGCUAAGUCAGUCA
rnacentral:rRNA from 1 species